rnacentral:rRNA from 1 species
AGUAAAGCGGCGGACGGGUGCGUAACACGUGGAUAAUCUGCCUCGUGGCGGGGGGAUAACAGCCCGAAAGGACUGCUAAUACCGCAUGUCACGAUGAAGGUUUCGGCCUUCAUCGAAAAAGAGGGCGCCGCAAGGGCUCUCACCACGAGAUGAGUCCGCGUCCCAUCAGCUAGUUGGCGGUGUAAUGGACCACCAAGGCUUAGACGGGUAGCUGGUCUGAGAGGAUGGCCAGCCACACUGGGGACUGAGACACGGCCCAGACUCCUACGGGAGGCAGCAGUGGGGGAAUAAUUUGGGACAAUGGGGCGAAAGCCUGAUCCAGCCAUGCCGCGUGAGUGAUGAAGGUCUUCGGAUCGUAAAGCUCUGUGGGAAGGGACGAAAAAGCGUGACCUAAUACGUCUCGCCUUGACGGUA